AGAGUUUGAUCCUGGCUCAGGACGAACGCUGGCGGCGUGGAUUAGGCAUGCAAGUCGAACGGUAUAAACCUUUCGGGGUUUAGAGAGUGGCGAACGGGUGAGUAACACGUAGGUAAUCUACCCUCAAAACGGGGACAACCCAGGGAAACUUGGGCUAAUACCGGAUGCGUGCAAGCAAUGUUUUGGCUGUUAAUGCUAUUCACGGAAGUGAGUAGUGUUAAUGGUUGAGAGCAUUAUUUGCAUAAAAGGUGGCAUAUGCUGCCGUUUGAGGAUGAGCCUGCGUCCUAUUAGUUAGUUGGUGAGGUAAUGGCUUACCAAGGCGAUGAUAGGUAGGCGGCCUUAACGGGUGGUCGCCCACACUGGGAUUGAGAGACGGCCCAGACUCCUACGGGAGGCAGCAGUCGAGAAUAGUCUACAAUGGACGGAAGUCUGAUAGUGCGACGCCGCGUGAACGAAGAAUCCCUUCGGGGUGUAAAGUUCUUUUAUACGUGAGCAGUGCCCUUUAUAUGAAUAGUAUAGAGGGAGGGAUUUAAGCGUAUGAAUAAGCAACGGCUAACUCCGUGCCAGCAGCCGCGGUAACACGGGGGUUGCAAGCGUUGUCCGGAAUUACUAGGCGUAAAGUGCAGGUAGGCGGAUAGAUAAGUUUAAGGUUAAAGGCUACGGCUUACCCGUAGUAAGGCGUUAGAUACUGUUUAUCUGGAAUGCGGUUGAGGGAGACAGAAUUCCUGGUGUAGCGGUGGAAUGCGCAGAGAUCAGGAGGAAUACCGAAGGCGAAGGCAGUCUUCUAAGCCGCUAUUGACGCUAAACUGCGAAGGUGUGGGGAUCAAACAGGAUUAGAUACCCUGGUAGUCCACACAGUAAACGAUAAUCACUAGGUGUUGGGUUCGUAUAGGACUCGGUGCCGGAGCUAACGCGAUAAGUGAUUCGCCUGGGGAGUACGAUCGCAAGGUUGAAACUCAAAGGAAUUGACGGGGGCCCGC
rnacentral:rRNA from 1 species